UAGGGAAUCUUCGGCAAUGGGGGCAACCCUGACCGAGCAACGCCGCGUGAGUGAAGAAGGUUUUCGGAUCGUAAAGCUCUGUUGUAAGAGAAGAACGUGUGUGAGAGUGGAAAGUUCACACAGUGACGGUAACUUACCAGAAAGGGACGGCUAACUACGUGCCAGCAGCCGCGGUAAUACGUAGGUCCCGAGCGUUGUCCGGAUUUAUUGGGCGUAAAGCGAGCGCAGGCGGUUUAAUAAGUCUGAAGUUAAAGGCAGUGGCUUAACCAUUGUUCGCUUUGGAAACUGUUAAACUUGAGUGCAGAAGGGGUGAGUGGAAUUCCAUGUGUAGCGGUGAAAUGCGUAGAUAUAUGGAGGAACACCGGUGGCGAAAGCGGCUCUCUGGUCUGUAACUGACGCUGAGGCUCGAAAGCGUGGGGAGCAAACAGG
rnacentral:rRNA from 1 species